AGCACCCAGAGCUGGCUUCCUCCAAUCCUGGCACCCCAGGUGGUCACGUGGGUUUCCUCCCCUAAAUCCAGCCCUGGGGAAACAUUACACUUUGAUGUAAUAAUUUAAAAGAUGCAGACAUGAACUUCCAAUUCACAGAUAACUGAUCCACAAUUCAACUAAGCAGAUCUGUUUAAUGCUAAUUUGCUUGACUGCUAUUUUCCUCAGGAUAUUUUCUGCAUACGUUAUUGUUUUGAUGAGAACUCCUAUAUUGUCCUUGUAAAGCAAGCUCUUGAACAAGAAGGCAUUUACCAUCUUGAAGAAAUGUGUUACAACAGAGCUACCAAGCAAGCAGCUGAAGGACGCGGUCCAGUGAAUUUAAUUUAUUUUUGCAGUCUCUGAUUCCUGUGCUUUCAUGCUUCUAUGCACUUAAGGAGCACUGAGUCCCAAUGGCCACUUGCAACUACAUGGAGCAGAAGUGCACCCUCUACAUCCCAGGGAGGGGGAAAUCACAUAAGGAAAGUGAUGUCGAUGAAGAACAAGACAAGAUCACUUCACAUUCUGAUGAGCUCAGUACAGCGGAAAUCACUGUGCAGUGGGUUUGAAAGUCAAGAAGAAAGUGAUACAACGCACCAUGAUGCAACUUAUGAACUGUACCUACUGUAAUUCUGAGAUGUUCAAUUUUUUGAACUUCUCUA